CAACUUUCGACAACGGAUCUCUUGGUUCUCCCAUCGAUGAAGAACGCAGCGAAACGCGAUAGGUAAUGUGGAUUGCAGAAUUCCGUGAAUCAUCGAAUCUUUGAACGCACCUUGCGCUCUAUGGUAUUCCGUAGAGCAUGCCUGUUUGAGUGCCGUG
rnacentral:rRNA from 1 species